GGCGCUAUAGUGUAGUGGUUAUCACUUGGGAUUCUGACCGUCCAGUCGGUGUUCCCAAAACCCAGGUUCGAGCCCUGGUAGCGCCU